rnacentral:tRNA from 1 species
GAGAGAUGGCCGAGUUGGUUUAAGGCGGUAGUCUCGAAAACUGCUAUAGAUUAACCUCUAUCGAGGGUUCGAAUCCCUCUCUCUCC